GUCAAUGCUAAUCACCAAUGUUCUUCCUUACUCGCAAAUUCCAAACUCAAUGUUGGCGAUUGAAGUCCAUGGAACAUAGCAAUUGGCAACUGCUCCCCGUGGAUUCAUCAAGAACGACGAGAAGAAACUGAAUGACAGAGACGAUGGAAGGCCAUGAUUGAAGCUGGAAACUAGGGUUAUUGUUUGUGUUUCUUUGUAUAAGCAAUUCAAUCUACAAUACUAAUGCUUCGAUUCACGAAUACCGGAAUGAAGCGUCUAGUGCGGAAUCGAAUUCGUUCUUCUUCCAUGGCGGCGGCGAGGGUCUAUACACUUAUUCUUCUAAAUUUCACGCUUUAAUCGACAGUUCCCCUGAUAAGCCCCUUAAGGGAAGCCCUUCAUAAGCCUAGAAGACCAAUGCUUGUGUUGCUUUAUCUGUAUUAUUGCAGUUACUUUAAUCAAUCUGUUCGCUACUGCCACGAUUUUUUGUAAGUAAUACUGAAAAAGUUCAAUCUGUAGUGCACAUAUGUUUGAAUGCUGAUUUGAUUUAUGAUUGAACUUUCGGGAAUAUUAUAGUCAAAUUAUUAUUUGCUUGUGUUUA